GUGGGGAAUCUUGCGCAAUGGGCGAAAGCCUGACGCAGCCAUGCCGCGUGAAUGAUGAAGGUCUUAGGAUUGUAAAAUUCUUUCACCGGGGACGAUAAUGACGGUACCCGGAGAAGAAGCUCCGGCUAACUUCGUGCCAGCAGCCGCGGUAAUACGAAGGGGGCUAGCGUUGCUCGGAAUUACUGGGCGUAAAGGGCGCGUAGGCGGACAGCUUAGUCAGAGGUGAAAGCCCAGGGCUCAACCUUGGAAUUGCCUUUGAUACUGGCUGUCUUGAGUUUGGGAGAGGUGAGUGGAACUCCGAGUGUAGAGGUGAAAUUCGUAGAUAUGCGGAAGAACACCAGUGGCGAAGGCGACUCACUGGCCCAAUACUGACGCUGAGGCGCGAAAGCGUGGGGAGCAAACAGGAUUAGAUACCCUGGUAGUCC
rnacentral:rRNA from 1 species